CUAAAAGCGGUAGUCAAUUUUUCUACGACAAUUUUUUUUUCUAUUGUGUGCACUAUGUGAUGCACGAUAUCGGUUUAUCUACAUAGAUAUUGGUGACAAUGGAAGUCGGAGUAAUGGUGGAAAGAUCGCAGACGAACAAUUUUCCGCUUGUUUGUCGCACAUAUUCACUGUUUGAAGAACGAACGGAAAAUGUAUUUGUAUGUCAUGUAUGGCGAAACGAUUUCAUACAGAUCGAAGGCACAUGUGUGUUGUGUAUGGCCCCUUUAAUAUGGAUAAGAUGAUACGAAACUCUUUGAUUCGAGAGAGAGCUGUCAAAAUUCACAUUUUUUAUAACAUUUGCCAAUGAAGCCACUGCUGAAAAAUAUUAGAUUGGGUAUUUUGCAAUUUUCACACUACUAUAUUAAUAAGCAAUAAAUUUUUUUUAAUUAAUGUAACAAUUUAAAAUAAUAAAUAAACAGGAAAACAAAACAA